CAUCCCCAAAUUCCACAGCACCUUCAAACACUACGGCGUGCUUCUUCUUAAAACGCGGCAUAAAAGAGGUGCACUCCACAAGCACGAAAAAAUUUACAUGUGAAAGUGAAAACGUGACAACACGAUAAAACGGACGAAGCAAGCAAAACAAAACACGAGUGCAU
rnacentral:sRNA from 1 species